UGACUGUUGAAGGUUUGUAGAAAAGAUGUAUGGAGAGAUAGUGAUGUUUCAUAAAGUAGAUUAUGAGAUACUGGCACGGACCUAAACGAAUCUUUACCGAAACAUGGAUUUUUACCACAUUCCAAAAAACUGACUGAAUCUGCUGAGACGCUGUUGUGCGGCCCGGGUGUCUUUGUAUCGUGCCGGAAGUUGUCUAUUACCAGCACCGCCCCCACAGCAGCAGCGCUCAAGGUGUGCUGACUGGUGAACUCAGCCAGUCCACCUGCACUUGCUAGGGCAGAGACUCCUUGCACACGGUGGUGGAAUGAACCAGCUGCCAGGGAUAUGUCAGGAGCUGUCUGUCAGGAAGAAGGGAUGAUAUU